UAAGAAAUAAUGCAUAAAAUUAUAAAUCUAUCAAUUCUAAAAAUAAUAAAAAAGUAAUAGGACCUUGGUAUUGAAGAUUUUUUUAAGGUUCCGACAAAUGACAAAUCCCUAACCCAAAACAGAAAAUAAGAAUAAUUUAUAAAUAGAAACAGUUUCCAGUAAAACCCAAUUCCAGUAAGAAUAAUUCAUAAACAGAACCCAAUUCCAGUAAAAUCCAAACAGUUGUAAAGUUUAAAGUUUACUAAUUCCAGUACAAAUAAAAUAUUUAAUUCCUCCAAAAAAAUCAAAGUGAUAAAAUAAAUUAAAUUGGUUUGGGUGGAAUAGUAUUGCACAUGGAAUGAGGUUAUUAAUAUAGGGCGCAUAUUUGGGACGGUACCGAUUUCAGUGAGGUACCUGGUCACGUUCAACCGUCCGCCGCGAUCCUCCACUGCGGAUUCCGGAACCACGAGGUCCGAAAUCCGCGAACUCGCCAUUCCGGAACCGACGAUUCCGGAAAUCGUUGGUUCCGGAACUCACCAUUCUGAAACCGGUUCCGGAAAUCGUCGGUCCGUCCAAAUUGCCAAUUUUUUCCUUUUGGAUCUCUGGUUCGGUAUCGAUGGGGGUGAAAAAUCUGUGGGAAAUACUUGACUUCUGCAAGAAAACCCUUCCCCUCAGUAACCUCGAGUAAUUUCAACCAUCAUCGUGUUUUAUUCACUGAUAAAACCCAUAAACCCAUCAUGACGGUCCGAGGAUCACAGACGUGCCGCAGGAUGCGGGGUGGGUGUCGUCUGUGAUCCUCGGUGUAUUAAUAUAAUAUAUUCAGGAACAUUAUUAUUGUUG
rnacentral:lncRNA from 1 species